rnacentral:rRNA from 1 species
GAGCUAGAGUGUGUGAGAGGAUCGUGGAAUUCCAUGUGUAGCGGUGAAAUGCGUAGAUAUAUGGAGGAACACCAGUGGCGAAGGCGACGAUCUGGCGCAUAACUGACGCUCAGUCCCGAAAGCGUGGGGAGCAAAUAGGAUUAGAUACCCUAGUAGUCCACGCCGUAAACGAUGAGUACUAAGUGUUGGGAGUCAAAUCUCAGUGCUGCAGUUAACGCAAUAAGUACUCCGCCUGAGUAGUACGUUCGCAAGAAUGAAACUCAAAGGAAUUGACGGGGGCCCGCACAAGCGGUGGAGCAUGUGGUUUAAUUCGAAGCAACGCGAAGAACCUUACCAGGUCUUGACAUCGAUCUAAAGGCUCCAGAGAUGGAGAGAUAGCUAUAGAGAAGACAGGUGGUGCAUGGUUGUCGUCAGCUCGUGUCGUGAGAUGUUGGGUUAAGUCCCGCAACGAUCGUCAGCUCGUGUCGUGAGAUGUUGGGUUAAGUCCCGCAACGAGCGCAACCCCCUGUUGCCAGUUGCCAGCAUUAAGUUGGGGACUCUGGCGAGACUGCCGGUGACAAGCGAGGAAGGCGGGGAUGACGUCAAAUCAUCAUGCCCCUUAUGACCUGGGCUACACACGUGCUACAAUGGACAGA